rnacentral:misc_RNA from 1 species
CUGACAGCAAGCAAUCGACCGGGUGUACUGAACUAUUUAAAGCGCUUUAUACAACAGAAGAAACAUUGCAAUAGUACAUUGAUGCUAUCGCAAAUUUGAAAUGUUGCAAAGGGAAAUCGCUUUUAGAGAGAAACAGUUCAGAAUGAGGACAGCGGAUAAAGUGCUCACAGUUGCGUUGCUAGCAUAUUUUAUUCCAUGCUAUACUGGAGUUUUACAAACUACUAGGAAAUUCAGCGGCAAACUCACGCCUAUAGAUGCCAAAGUGUGUACAACACAGAAUAUUACUUUUACCAGUGAACUUCUCCAAUCUCCAUCGCUUAACUUCUCCAUCGGCUUUGCUAUUAAAUAUAUGCAAAUACAAAUACAACAUACGUGGCAGUAGAUUAUGACAAAGUAACAGAGAUCAAUGAGACGAUGUCGCAAUUUACACUGUACAAUAUCACUUUGGAUACGGAAAAUGAGUCAGAACGUGUAUAUUUCUAUGUUAAGAGUUACUGCUGGCAAGAAUUCGGUGAAAAAGAUAGCACAUUGCAGCUUGGGCAAACAACUUCUACGCGUAUUUACCCACUGCCAGAGACUGUCCGAAAUUUUAAAUGCAUUGUGCUAAAUUACGUGUCAAUGAAUUGUACUUGGAACUAUGGGAAAGACUAUGGUGGAAAUUUGCCAGAAGUGAUAUUUCAGUGGAGAUUCCAAUCAUACACUGCUUCGUGGACAGAUUGUAGAGACCUCAAUCCAGAAUAUGGGUAUUGUUAUUGGGAAGAUUCGAAUGCGGGAUAUAUCAAAAAUGUUAACAUAACCGUUAGAAUUACAUUAAAACAGAAAUGUGACCUCAGUAUCUCUAAAGAUUUCCAUAUACUAGACAUAUCAAAAAUUGUCAAGCCAAAUCCAGUUUCGAGCAUUUCAUCAAAGGUUAUCAACAGUACGUGCAUUCAGGUAUUUUGGAAUACAGGUGAUUCGGAGCCACAGAAUCCUAAAGAACAUAGAAUUAUUGUAUCCAGUAAAUGGGAUAAUUUUACGAUGACUUUUAAAACAUCUGAGACCACUGAGCAAUUUCCACACAGUCGGACCUUUUGCAACCUACAUCCAUACACUGAAUAUACAUUUAGUGUAAGUAUACAGCCGAUUGGCCUCUACUCAGGCUUUUUCAGUGACGAGACAAAAAGUGUAUCAAGGACGUUCUCUGACAUUCCAAGUGCAAGUCCAGAGUUGAUAGAAGGGGGCUAUAGCUCUAAUCAAAGAGGCUGUGAUAAAGGUUGUCAGAGAGUUGUUUGCAUAUUUUGGAAGUCAAUCAAGGAAGAACAUAUGAAUGGACAAAUGAGGAGUGUCCAGGGUCUGUUUACUGUCAUUAAUGCGAAAACACCACCUCUACAAGAUGACUGGGCCCCAGAUUCCACGUAUGGUUGCUCCUAUUUAUUGUGUAACACAAACUAUAACUACACUAUUAAGGCCAGGAAUGUAAAUGGUACAUCAGACAAUGGCUCGACAAUCACAAUACCAUCAUUUCAUCCAGGGAAUAUGCCGCCACAAUUCGUAGUGGAAUCAACUAAUACAUCAGAAGUUUACAUCAGCCUUGACCAACGAGAAGAUCGCCAUACCAAAGAGUAUAUUGUAGCGUGGUGCCGAAAUAAAAAUGGAGAUUGUCAGCCAGGUGAUGAGUUCAAUUGGAAACACUUUCCUUCAAACACAACAGAAGCCGUUUUACAUAUAAAAUCAUCACAGGACUUUUUGUACGGUGUUAGUGUAUUAACAGAGGAUGGAAGCAGUGGUGUAGCGUGGCAGGAUUGUGUAUAUCAGAAAAAUAUACCCCCAAAGAGGGAGCCUCAGAAUGUUGUGGUGUCGGCGGGAUCUGAUGAUAACACACUGGUUGUCACGUGGGAUAAUUAUAACCUGGCAUGUUAUUCAUAUGAGCCAUACAUAGCCAUGUACAAUGUGCAGUUCAACAAAUUAGAUGAUAUAAAUCGGAAAUCUAUCAAUGUGGCUGAGUCGGAUGAAGCGAGAGUGGUGUUAAGAGACAUGGAGGAGGAUCAAACUUAUCUUGUGACGGUGAGAGGAAUCACAAAAGAUGGACGUUAUGGACCUGAGAGUCAACCUCAGAAAGGCGUACCAGUAAAUAAAAGAUAUGUAAAAUGAAAGCAAAGAAAGCUAUAGAAAAAGCGGGAAAUAUUACCAUUCCUGAGAUGCCUGACUUAGUAUUCAACAAUGAUCGUCAAAACAGUUACGACAUUGGAUAUGAUAUGACACCACCACCUGAAAAAAGUAAGAACGCAAUACAGUUAGGCAGCUCAGAAUUUGUUCAACUCUACGACUGUCGCGUUGCAGACUAUGGUGAAACAACUAUCGGCU